AGCGGACUGCUCGAGCUGCUUC
rnacentral:snRNA from 1 species